rnacentral:tRNA from 1 species
AAUUUCCGUCUACUCUAACCACUUUAGGGUUCGUCGUCUCUCCUUCCCCCC